AAUGAACGCUGGCGGCGUGCUUUACACAUGCAAGUCGAGCGAGGCGGGUAGCAAUACCCAGUCGAGCGGCGAACGGGUGAGUAACGCGUGGAUGACCUGCCCUGAGGUGGGGAAUAACCCGGGGAAACGUACGGGCUAAUACCGCAUAUGACCGCGAGGUCAAAGAGGGGUUGGCAAGAUCUCUUGCCACAGGAGGGGUCCGCGUUCGAUUAGCUAGUUGGUAGGGUAAUGGCCUACCAAGGCGACGAUCGAUAGCCGGCCUGAGAGGGUGAUCGGCCACACUGGAACUGAGACACGGUCCAGACUCCUACGGGAGGCAGCAGUGGGGAAUUUUGCGCAAUGGGCUAACGCCUGACGCAGCAACGCCGCGUGGAGGAUGAAGGUCCUUGGAUUGUAAACUCCUGUCAGCGGGGAAAAGCGAUUCGACCUCAUACGUCGGAGAGUUGAUUGUACCGCAGAGGACGACCCGGCUAACUCUGUGCCAGCAGCAGCCGCUGUAAC
rnacentral:rRNA from 1 species